rnacentral:rRNA from 1 species
GACGAACGCUGGCGGCGUGCUUAACACAUGCAAGUCGAACGGUAAGGCCCUUCGGGGUACACGAGUGGCGAACGGGUGAGUAACACGUGGGUGAUCUGCCCUGCACUUCGGGAUAAGCCUGGGAAACUGGGUCUAAUACCGGAUAGGACUCCGGACUGCAUGGUCUGGGGUGGAAAGCUUUUGCGGUGUGGGAUGGGCCCGCGGCCUAUCAGCUUGUUGGUGGGGUGAUGGCCUACCAAGGCGACGACGGGUAGCCGGCCUGAGAGGGUGGCCGGCCACACUGGGACUGAGAUACGGCACAGACUCCUACGGGAGGCAGCAGUGGGGAAUAUUGCACAAUGGGCGCAAGCCUGAUGCAGCGACGCCGCGUGAGGGAUGACGGCCUUCGGGUUGUAAACCUCUUUCAGCAUCGACGAAGCGAAAGUGACGGUAGGUACAGAAGAAGGACCGGCCAACUACGUGCCAGCCGCCACAGUAA